rnacentral:tRNA from 1 species
GCCCGAAUAGCUCAGUUGGUAGAGCAAGGGAUUGAAAAUCCCUGUGUCGCUGGUUCGAAUCCGGCUUCGGGCACCA